AUUGAACGCUAGCGGGAUGCUUUACACCUGCCAGUCGAACGAGUGGAAGACGGGUGAGUAAUAUAGCGGAACGUGACCAGUAGCAGGGGAUACCUACUCGAAAGAGUGGCUCAUACCGCCUACUAUUGGCAGGGCCGAUAUCGGCUUAACUAGUUGGGGGGGUAAAGGCUAACCAAGGCGACGAGCCGUAGCUGGUUUGAGAGGACGACCAGCCACACUGGGACUGAGACACGGCCCAGACGCCUACGGGAGGCAGCAGUGGGGAAUUUUGGACAAUGGGGGAAACCCUGAUCCAGCCAUCCCGCGUGUAUGAGAAGGCCUUCGGGUUGUAAAGUACUUUUGGCAGAGAAGCGGUAUCUGCAGAAUAAGCACCGGCUAACUACGUGCCAGCCGCCGCGGUAAUUC
rnacentral:rRNA from 1 species